CUGUGUUAUCUGUUGUAUUACAUAGGACUGCAGGUGACAUCUACUACAUUAUUUGUACACUGAGAGUUAUUAUUGUGUUAUCAGUGGUGUUACAUAGGACUGCAAGUAAGAUCUACUGCAUUAGCUAUAAAAAAAGGGGUGUGG